GAUGAACGCUGGCGGCGUGCCUAACACAUGCAAGUCGAGCGGACCAAUGCUCAUUUCAGCUUUGCUGAUUUGAGCAACGGUUAGCGGCGGACGGGUGAGUAACGCGUGGGCAACCUGCCCUGUGCAGGGGGAUAACACAGCGAAAGCUGUGCUAAUACCCCAUAAGACUACGCUAUCGCAUGAUAGAGUAGUCAAAGCUUUAGCGGCACAGGAUGGGCCCGCGUCUGAUUAGCUAGUUGGUGGGGUAACGGCCUACCAAGGCGACGAUCAGUAGCCGACCUGAGAGGGUGAUCGGCCACACUGGAACUGAGACACGGUCCAGACUCCUACGGGAGGCAGCAGUGGGGAAUAUUGCACAAUGGGGGAAACCCCGAUGCAGCAACGCCGCGUGAGCGAAGAAGGCCUUCGGGUCGUAAAGCUCUGUCCUAAGGGAAGAAGUAUGACGGUACCUUAGGAGGAAGCCCCGGCUAACUACGUGCCAGCAGCCGCGGUAAUACGUAGGGGGCGAGCGUUAUCCGGAAUCACUGGGCGUAAAGGGUGCGUAGGCGGCCGAGUAAGCCAGAGGUGAAAGGCUACGGCUUAACCGUAGUAAGCCUUUAGAACUACUUGGCUUGAGUGCAGGAGAGGAGAGUGGAAUUCCUAGUGUAGCGGUGAAAUGCGUAGAUAUUAGGAGGAACACCAGUGGCGAAGGCGACUCUCUGGACUGUAACUGACGCUGAGGCACGAAAGCGUGGGGAGCAAACAGGAUUAGAUACCCUGGUAGUCCACGCCGUAAACGAUGAGUGCUAGGUGUCGGGGGUUCACACCCUCGGUGCCGGAGUUAACGCAAUAAGCACUCCGCCUGGGGAGUACGGUCGCAAG
rnacentral:rRNA from 1 species